rnacentral:misc_RNA from 1 species
UGUGAUCAGACGCGAGUAGACUCCCUCGGCGACCUUGGUCGUCCUCGUAGCCGCAUCCUGGACUCUAGCACGACGCAUGGAUCUGCCUUUCACCCAUAGAGUGGGGCAGUCUUGCAAAUGUGCUAGGUCGACCUCUGUGCGGCUCUCCGUUKGCRAGGAUCACAUGGGUUUGAGAUCAAAACAGGUGCCUAGGCACCACYUGGUAUGAUUCUCAAACCGAUCUAAAUCAAUCAGGCGCCCAGGCACCUGAUYGRUUWAUGAUCAGUCGCUUURARAGUCCCUUUGAAAGGUCCUUCRAGAUCAAAAAYKGGUGUCUUGGUGUCCGGUYCCUUUGAGAUAAAAAACGGGUGCCUURGUGCCUGGUUCCUUCAAAAUSAAAACCGGAUGC